CCUACGGGAGGCAGCAGUGGGGAAUAUUGCACAAUGGGGGAAACCCUGAUGCAGCGACGCCGCGUGAGUGAAGAAGUAUUUCGGUAUGUAAAGCUCUAUCAGCAGGGAAGAUAAUGACGGUACCUGAGUAAGAAGCCCCGGCUAACUACGUGCCAGCAGCCGCGGUAAUACGUAGGGGGCAAGCGUUAUCCGGAUUUACUGGGUGUAAAGGGAGCGUAGACGGCAUGGCAAGUCUGAAGUGAAAGCCCGGGGCUCAACCGCGGGACUGCUUUGGAAACUGUUAAGCUGGAGUGAAGGGAGGUAAGUGGAAUUCCUAGUGUAGCGGUGAAAUGCGUAGAUAUUAGGAGGAACACCAGUGGCGAAGGCGGCUUACUGGACUGUAACUGACGUUGAGGCUCGAAAGCGUGGGGAGCAAACAGGAUUAGAUACCCGAGUAGUC
rnacentral:rRNA from 1 species